GAUGAAGAACGCAGCGAAAUGCGAUAAGUAAUGUGAAUUGCAGAAUUCAGUGAAUCAUCGAAUCUUUGAACGCACAUUGCGCCCGUCAGUAUUCUGGCGGGCAUGCCUGUUCGAGCGUCAUUACGCCCCUCAAGUCCCCUGUGGACUUGGUGUUGGGGAUCGGCGAGGCUGGUUUUCCAGCACAGCCGUCCCUUAAAUUAAUUGGCGGUCUCGCCGUGGCCCUCCUCUGCGCAGUAGUAAAACACUCGCAACAGGAGCCCNGNGCGGUCCACUGCCGUAAAACCCCCCAACUUUUUAUAGUUGACCUCGAAUCAGGUAGGACUACCCGCUGAACUUAAGCAUAUCAAUAAGCGGAGGA
rnacentral:misc_RNA from 1 species